rnacentral:rRNA from 1 species
UGGCGGACGGGUGAGUAAUGUCUGGGAAACUGCCUGAUGGAGGGGGAUAACUACUGGAAACGGUAGCUAAUACCGCAUAACAUCGCAAGACCAAAGAGGGGGACCUUCGGGCCUCUUGCCAUCGGAUGUGCCCAGAUGGGAUUAGCUAGUAGGUGGGGUAACGGCUCACCUAGGCGACGAUCCCUAGCUGGUCUGAGAGGAUGACCAGCCACACUGGAACUGAGACACGGUCCAGACUCCUACGGGAGGCAGCAUG